UCUGAGCAUAAGAAGAAAUCAUUGAUGAGAUCCACUCCAGCCCCUUCCCUGGAGCCUGGCGGACCCAGCUCAUCCAGUAGCUACUGAAGGUGAAUCCAGAGGCUGCACAGGAGAGUUUCAGGGACCCUACAGGCUUCACCAAGCCUCCUCCAGACUCCACCAGCUGCACUUCACACUGGACACCU